CCUGACUCAACAACUGAUCCAGCAAGAGCAGCUAUUUGACCUGUGUUUUUUGUUGCUGUUGUUUGUUUUUUUGCUCUAAUGCAGUAAAGGAAAUAUCGUUGCAGCCGCAAUCACCCAGAGUCAUAUUCACGAGGAGCAGAGACAGCUUCACGGGAGGCAGCAGAACAAGUUCAACAUCUCUCAACUCUCCUCCUCUCCUCAUCCAGCACAUCUGGUACCAAAUCCUCAACGGGUUCCCCGUUGUCAUCAGCCAAGCCGGGAGGAUACCAGGACAGGACCAGAACCCCUGGAGACAGACGGAAAGUCAUCAGUCUGAUCAUGGAAUGCUGACAGUCCUGUCCCCCAAAUGGGAGCGGGGGAAAAACGUUGGCUUUCAUUAACGUACAGGGAAAGCGCAGCAGCAGAUCUGUGGGACGCUGAGCUCUGGGUGUGGGGAGCUGUCCAGUGGAUGUGUGGUGCUGAAGUGGUUUGUUCCUCUCCAGCAGGUUUUUAAAAAAAAAAGAAUGUUAGAGGCCAGAAUAUUCUGUGCUGCAUCUCAGCACAAAAAGGCACGAACUUAACAAUGUUUUUCUUUCUAUUUCUUCCCACGAAAUCUCGGCAGUCCGUUGCACCUCUGAACUGUUACCUGCUGCAGAUGCUCCUAUCUGCUCCAUGUGGGACUCCAACACGUCCGGGUCCCUCGAGCUGUACGGAUUGAGUUCGGGGUAGAAACUGGA